rnacentral:rRNA from 1 species
CCCCGGAGGACCACCAGUGGCGAAAGCGGGCGGCCAGAACGCGCCCGACGGUGAGGGGCGAAAGCCGGGGGAGCAAAGGGGAUUAGAUACCCCUGUAGUCCCGGCCGUAAACGAUGCGGGCUAGCUGUCGGCUGGGCUUAGGGCCCGGCCGGUGGCGAAGGGAAACCGUUAAGCCCGCCGCCUGGGGAGUACGGCCGCAAGGCUGAAACUUAAAGGAAUUGGCGGGGGGGCACCACAAGGGGUGAAGCUUGCGGCUUAAUUGGAGUCAACGCCGGAAACCUCACCCGGGGCGACAGCAGGAUGAAGGCCAGGCUAACGACCUUGCCGGACGAGCUGAGAGGAGGUGCAUGGCCGUCGUCAGCUCGUGCCGUGAGGUGUCCGGUUAAGUCCGGCAACGAGCGAGACCCCCGCCCCUAGUUGCUUUCCCGCUCUUCGGAGCGGGAGGCACACUAGGGGGACUGCCGGCGUAAGCCGGAGGAAGGAGGGGGCCACGGCAGGUCAGUAUAGGGCCUCGGGCCGCGAGGCAGAGGCCCGCUGAAGCCCCGAAAGCCGUGGCCCCGCCCUUAUAUACCCCCAUCUGGAGGGGUAUGUGUCUAAACUCUGGGCCUACUUAGUGGGCUUAAUCGCCGCAGAUGGACACGUCGAGAAGAAGAGAGUUGCUCUUGCGCA